AAUCUGGUUGAUCCUGCCAGUAGUCAUAUGCUUGUCUCAGAGAUUAAGCCAUGCAUGUCUAAGUACAAACCUUCAAACGGUGAAACCGCGAAUGGCUCAUUAAAUCAGCUAUGGUUCCUUGGAUCGUACAUACUACAUGGAUAACUGUAUUAAUUCUAGAGCUAAUACAUGCCACUAUGCCCUGACCCGCAAGGGAACGGGUGGAUUUAUUAGAACAGAACCAACCGGCGGUGACUUCGGUUGCCGUCGUUGCAUUCUGUGAUGACUCUGGAUAACUUUACUGAUCGCAGUCGGCCUUGUGUCGGCGACGGUCUUUCAAAUGUCUGCCCUAUCAAUUUUCGAUGGUAGGUGACCUGCCUACCAUGGUGAUAACGGGUAACGGGGAAUCAGGGUUCGAUUCCGGAGAGGGAGCCUGAGAAACGGCUACCACUUCCAAGGAAGGCAGCAGGCGCGCAAAUUACCCAAUCCCGGCACGGGGAGGUAGUGACGAAAAAUACGGAUACGGGACUCAUUAGAGGCUCCGUAAUUCGAAUGAGUACAAUUUAAAUCCUUUAACGAGGAUCAACUGGAGGGCAAGUCUGGUGCCAGCAGCCGCGGUAACUCCAGCUCCAGAAGCGUAUAUUAAAGUUGUUGCAGUUAAAAAGCUCGUAGUUGGAUCUGGGUCGCAUGGCUACAUGCCGUUGCUCGUAUUCCUGGCCUGGUUCACACCGGGACGGGUUUGUGAGUCGGUGUCGUGGUUGUGCAGCCUUUCUGCCGUGUCUGUUUCGACAGGUGUUAGCAUGAUUGGUGGGUUCGUCCCUGCCUGAUCUGUUGACAUGCUUCCCAGGUGCCUUAACCGGGUCGUCGGGGGCGGACGGCACGUUUACUUUGAACAAAUUUGAGUGCUCAAAGCAGGCCCGUGUGCCUGAAAAUUCUUGCAUGGAAUAAUGGAAUAGGACUUCGGUUCUAUUUUGUUGGUUUUCGGAUCCGAAGUAAUGGUUAAAAGGGACAGACGGGGGCAUUUGUAUGGCGGUGUUAGAGGUGAAAUUCUUGGAUCACCGCCAGACAAACUACAGCGAAAGCAUUUGCCAAGGAUGUUUUCAUUGAUCUGGAGCGAAAGUCAGAGGUUCGAAGACGAUCAGAUACCGUCCUAGUUCUGACCAUAAACGAUGCCAACUGACGAUCCGUGGUGGCGCGAUUAUUGGCCCCGCGGGCAGCCCCCGGGAAACCUUUAAGUCUUUGGGCUCCGGGGGAAGUAUGGUUGCAAAGCUGAAACUUAAAGGAAUUGACGGAAGGGCACCACCAGGAGUGGCAGUGCGGCUUAAUUCGACUCAACACGGGAAAUCUCACCCGGCCCGGACACUGUGAGGAUUGACAGAUUGAUAGCUCUUUCUUGAUUCGGUGGUUGGUGGUGCAUGGCCGUUCUUAGUUGGUGGAGCGAUUUGUCUGGUUAAUUCCGAUAACGAACGAGACUUUGGCCUGCUAAAUAGUACGCCUGUCCUCUGUGCUCGUGCAGGUGGCGGUGCUCAUUGCCUCUCUGGGGUGAUGGUGCCGUUCGCCGGCGGGUGCGGCCAGGUGUCUACUUCUUAGAGGGACAAGCGGCGUGCCAGUCGCACGAAAUUGAGCAAUAACAGGUCUGUGAUGCCCUUAGAUGUCCGGGGCCGCACGUGCGCUACAAUGACGGUUUCAACGAGUUUGGGAUCCUAGCCCGAAAGGUUUGGGUAAACUGAACCAUAACCGUCGUGACUGGGAUCGGGGCUUGCAAUUGUUCCCCGUGAACGAGGAAUUCCUGGUAAGUGCAAGUCAUAAGCUUGCGCUGAUUACGUCCCUGCCCUUUGUACACACCGCCCGUCGCUACUACCGAUUGAAUGGUUUAGCAAGGUCCUCGGAUUGGUGCCAUUGUAGUUGCUUCGGCAGCUCGACCGGUGCUGAAAAGACGACCAAACUUGAUCAUUUAGAGGAAGUAAAAGUCGUAACAAGGUUUCCGUAGGUGAACCUGCGGAAGGAUCAUUG
rnacentral:rRNA from 1 species